CCUACGGGUGGCAGCAGUGGGGAAUAUUGGACAAUGGGCGAAAGCCUGAUCCAGCCAUGCCGCGUGUGUGAAGAAGGCCUUCGGGUUGUAAAGCACUUUCAGUGGGGAAGAAAGCCUUGGGGCUAAUACCCUCGAGGAAGGACAUCACCCACAGAAGAAGCACCGGCUAACUCCGUGCCAGCAGCCGCGGUAAUACGGAGGGUGCGAGCGUUAAUCGGAAUUACUGGGCGUAAAGCGCGCGUAGGCGGUCUGAUAAGCCGGUUGUGAAAGCCCCGGGCUCAACCUGGGAACGGCAUCCGGAACUGUCAGGCUAGAGUGCAGGAGAGGAAGGUAGAAUUCCCGGUGUAGCGGUGAAAUGCGUAGAGAUCGGGAGGAAUACCAGUGGCGAAGGCGGCCUUCUGGACUGACACUGACGCUGAGGUGCGAAAACGUGGGUAGCAAACAGGAUUAGAUACCCGGGUAGUC
rnacentral:rRNA from 1 species